rnacentral:tRNA from 1 species
GGAGGAUAUAGCUCAGUGGUAGAGUACAUGCCUUGCAUGCAUGAGGUCCUGGGUUCAAUCCCCAGUGCCUCCA